UACAGAGGGUGCGAGCGUUAAUCGGAAUUACUGGGCGUAAAGCGCACGUAGGUGGCGACGUAAGUCGGGUGUGAAAGCCCCGGGCUCAACCUGGGAAUUGCAUUCGAGACUGCAUGGCUAGGAUGCGGAAGAGGGAAGCGGAAUUUCCGGUGUAGCGGUGAAAUGCGUAGAUAUCGGAAGGAACACCAGUGGCGAAAGCGGCUCCUGGUCCAGCAUACG
rnacentral:rRNA from 1 species